UAGGGAAUCUUCGGCAAUGGGGGCAACCCUGACCGAGCAACGCCGCGUGAGUGAAGAAGGUUUUCGGAUCGUAAAGCUCUGUUGUAAGAGAAGAACGUGUGUGAGAGUGGAAAGUUCACACAGUGACGGUAACUUACCAGAAAGGGACGGCUAACUACGUGCCAGCAGCCGCGGUAAUACGUAGGUCCCGAGCGUUGUCCGGAUUUAUUGGGCGUAAAGCGAGCGCAGGCGGUUUAAUAAGUCUGAAGUUAAAGGCAGUGGCUUAACCAUUGUUCGCUUUGGAAACUGUUAAACUUGAGUGCAGAAGGGGAGAGUAGAAUUCCAUGUGUAGCUGUGAAAUGCGUAGAUAUAUGGAGGAACACCGAUGGCGAAAGCGGCUCUCUGGUCUGAAACUGACGCUGAGGCUCGAAAGCGUGGGGAGCAAACAGG
rnacentral:rRNA from 1 species